rnacentral:rRNA from 1 species
GAUGAACGCUGGCGGCGUGCCUAAUACAUGCAAGUCGAGCGAAUGGAUUAAGAGCUUGCUCUUAUGAAGUUAGCGGCGGACGGGUGAGUAACACGUGGGUAACCUGCCCAUAAGACUGGGAUAACUCCGGGAAACCGGGGCUAAUACCGGAUAACAUUUUGAACCGCAUGGUUCGAAAUUGAAAGGCGGCUUCGGCUGUCACUUAUAGAUGGACCCGCGUCGCAUUAGCUAGUUGGUGAGGUAACGGCUCACCAAGGCAACGGUGCGUAGCCGACCGGGGAGGGUGAUCGGCCACACUGGGACUGAGACACGGCCCAGACUCCUACGGGAGGCAGCAGUAGGGAAUCUUCCGCAAUGGACGAAAGUCUGACGGAGCGACGCCGCGUGAGUGAUGAAGGCUUUCGGGUCGUAAAACUCUGUUGUUAGGGAAGAACAAGUGCUAGUUGAAUAAGCUGGCACCUUGACGGUACCUAACCAGAAAGCCACGGCUAACUACGUGCCAGCCGCCGCCGUAA